CUUGUUUUAUAAUCAUACUUAAUCCUUAAGAAUAUAUAAAACCUCUUGCUUACUGUUAAAAAGUUUAAACUAUGCAGAUGACAGCUCUGCUAGGCUGUAACACUUCGGCCAAUUUUUUCUUUUUUCUGUCGCAAGCACGUAUUUCUGGAGGUAAAUUGUGUCUUAGGGCAGCGCUUUACAAACUUUAACAUAGCAUGAAUCAUUUGGCGAUCUUAAAUUUCCGACUGGAAUUCAGUUCUCGUUGUCACCUGGGAUCUGCAUUUUGUAACAGGUUCUGGGUGAUGCAGCGCUGCCUACCCUUUGACUGCACUGUGAGGAGCAAGGUUUUACAACUAGUCCCCGAACUAUGAAGACAGUUAAAGGUUCCUGCAAAGCAUCUUUGUGGCCACUGCUACUAAUAGUCAGAUUCUUGGAGGAUUGUCUAUUUGCAUUACAAGAAACCCAGAUAGUAGAUUUUUAAAUUUAAAAGCGUCGCUGCUGAGCUCCAACCCAGUCUCCCAUUUCAUAACGAGGACACUGAAGUUUACAGAGGCUGAGUGACUUGUCUGAAGCUUUAGGAGGAGGAAGUACCACAUAAAACUUAGGGUUGCUGUUUGAUAAGGAGAUUCAAGACAGAAGUCUUCAGGAAUCUGUAAUUUAAAAUAUGAAACAUGUCUUACCUUCCAUAAAAUUGCAACCAGAGCUAAUAGCAAAAGGAUUCCAGCGAUUACACUUCCUACUAUAACUCCGGUUGGUACUUCGGCUUUCUCAUGAGGUUUCAUUAUCGUAAUGGGGAUCUGUAAAUGUGUAUACACAACAAUUGCGUUAAUUAAUUUUAGCACCAAAAAAGACUGAGAUGGUCUAGCCAAAUCCUGUAAUUUUGUAAGUGACGAUCUAGAAAGGGGAUGUGACUUCCUCAGGCUCGUGAUCCUCAGUUAAACACUGCAGUACAAGCUCCAGAGAAGAUGUGCCUGCAGAAUACAGGCAAGCCAAGCAUGUCUUCCCAUUUCCUGCCUUUAGUUGCACCAGUGUUCAGCGGACACAUCAUCUCUGGCAGUCUCAGAUGCUUUAAUCACUUACGAAAUGGCAACUUCAGUUGUUGGCAUCCAGUCUCAUCAAGUGAAAGCAUUUAGCACCCAGUCUUUGGGAGGGGACUCAACAAAUUAACAACCCAAAUAAAUCCCUUGUGGUUAAACAACAACAACCAUAACUUUGUACUGGGGUCCUAAAAUAGUUAUCUCACUCUCGCUCAAGAUUACUUGAUAUGGAUUGUUUAAAAAGUAGAAGUAAUAUCUCAAGGCUCAAGCUGUCCUUUUCAUGAUAAAGUGUCCUUGAGGAUACAUAUGAUUUUUUUUUUUU